AUUGAACGCUGGCGGCAGGCCUAACACAUGCAAGUCGAGCGGAUGAAGGGAGCUUGCUCCUGGAUUCAGCGGCGGACGGGUGAGUAAUGCCUAGGAAUCUGCCUGGUAGUGGGGGAUAACAUCCGGAAACGGGCGCUAAUACCGCAUACGUCCUGAGGGAGAAAGUGGGGGAUCUUCGGACCUCACGCUAUCAGAUGAGCCUAGGUCGGAUUAGCUAGUUGGUGGGGUAAAGGCCUACCAAGGCGACGAUCCGUAACUGGUCUGAGAGGAUGAUCAGUCACACUGGAACUGGGACACGGUCCAGACUCCUACGGGAGGCAGCAGUGGGGAAUAUUGGACGAUGGGCGAAAGCCUGCUCCAGCCAUGCCGCGUGGGUGAAGAAGGUCUUCGGAUUGUAAAGCACUUUAAGUUGGGAGGAAGGGCAGUACGUUAAUACCUUGCUGUUUUGACGUUACCAACAGAAUAAGCACCGGCUAACUUCGUG
rnacentral:rRNA from 1 species